rnacentral:rRNA from 1 species
CCUACGGGAGGCUGCAGUGGGGAAUAUUGCACAAUGGGGGAAACUCUGAUGCAGCGACGCCGCGUGAGUGAAGAAGUAAUUCGUUAUGUAAAGCUCUAUCAGCAGGGAAGAAAAUGACGGUACCUGAGUAAGAAUCCCCGGCCAACUACGUGCCAGCAGCCGCGGUAAUACGACGGGGGCAAGCGUUCUCCGGAUUUACGGGGGGUAAAGGGAGCGUAGACGGCAGUGCAAGUCUGGAGUGAAAGGCGGAGGCUCAACCCGAGGGCUGCUCUGGAAACUGGACGGCAGGAGUGCAGGAGAGGAGAGUGGAAUUCCUUGUGUAGCGGUGAAAUGCGUAGAUAUUAGGAGGAACACCAGUGGCGAAGGCGGCUUACUGGACUGUAACUGACGUUGAGGCUCGAAAGCGUGGGGAGCAAACAGGAUUAGAUACCCCUGUAGUC